ACUUAUAUCACAGGGUAGUAGUAAAAAACAAAACUCCUAAAACUUGGCGGUUAUAAUUUUCUAAAGAAACUUGUUUUAUAAUAGACAAUACACUUUAAUUCUAACUUUAUACUAAAAUUUAUAUACCGCCGUAAUAGAAAUAAAAUAAACCAAAUUCCCAAAUUAAAACACUCAAAAAAUCAGGUCAAGGUGUAAUCAAUUAUAAAGAAUAAAUUAGUUACACAUAAUAAAAAAUUAAGAAACUAUGAUCUAAAGACAUAAAGAAAAAGAAUUUAUAAAUAAUUAAUAAUUAAUARUUAUUACUGAAAAUUUAUAUUAUAAUGC
rnacentral:rRNA from 1 species